rnacentral:lncRNA from 1 species
UUAACACAUGGCAAGAGUAAAAUCUCUUUGUUCUUACUGUGCUAUAAUCUAGAUAAUGCACAGCAAAGGUGUGCAUUAACUACCUCAGAUAUACCGCACAGUUCAAAUCUAUUUUUACCUUUAGGGGCGGUUCCCGGAUUUUGAAAGGGGCGUUAUUCUAUCAAAUUAAAAAAAAAACAAGAAUGUGUCCAUAGUACACGAAUGCCCCACUCGCACUAUCAUUUUUUAUGUUCAGUGGACCAUGAAAUUGGGGUCAAAACUAUAAUUUGGCAGUACAAUUAGAAAGAUGAUAUCAUGGGGAACAUGUGUACUAAGUUUCAAGUUGAUUGGACUUCAACUUCUUCAAAAACUACCUUGACCAAAAACUUUAACCUGAAGCGGACGGACGAACGGACGCACAGACGGACGGACGAACGGACGGACGGAAGAACGGAGGCACAGACCAGAAAACAUAAUGCCCCUCUACUAUCGUAGAUGGGGCAUAAAUAUCACCGAGUGUAGCGAGACUAAAGACAAUAUUGACGAUUUUAAGCUAAAACACCCUAUUUUGUCCAAUCCAAGGGUAAACGAUCCGUUCGCCCCCACCCCCGAAUCCGCCAUCUGAACGAAUUUUGAAUAAUUAUUCCUAUAAAGAGACUAUAUUUGGAUCGGAUUUAAUGAGGACCAUAUUAAAGUUUGUUUUAAAACUGGGUGAUUAGCUGGAGAUCAA